GGGUUGUUAGCUCAGUUGGUAGAGCAGCUGACUCUUAAUCAGCGGGUCGAGGGUUCAAGCCCCCACAGCCCA
rnacentral:tRNA from 1 species